UUCCCUGUGGCUCAGUUGGUAGAGCAUGGUGUUUGCAACGCCAGCAUGGUGUGUGCAACGCCAGGGUUGUGGGUUCGAUUCCCACGGGGGACC
rfam:Salmo salar isolate Sally breed double haploid chromosome ssa27, whole genome shotgun sequence.